rnacentral:rRNA from 1 species
CAAUAGCGUAUAUUAAAGUUGUUGCGGUUAAAAAAGCUCGUAGUUGGAUUUCUGCCGAGGACGACCGGUCCGCCCUCUGGGUGAGUAUCUGGUUCGGCCUGGGCAUCUUCUUGGAGAACGUAUCUGCACUUGACUGUGUGGUGCGGUAUCCAGGACUUUUACUUUGAGGAAAUUAGAGUGUUUCAAGCAGGCACACGCCUUGAAUACAUUAGCAUGGAAUAAUAAGAUAGGACCUUGGUUCUAUUUUGUUGGUUUCUAGAGCUGAGGUAAUGAUUAAUAGGGAUAGUUGGGGGCAUUCGUAUUUAACUGUCAGAGGUGAAAUCCUUGGAUUUGUUAAAGCCGGACUACUGCGAAAGCAUUUGCCAAGGAUGUUUCAUUGAUCAAGAACGAAAGUUAUUGGGCCGAAGACGAUUAGAUACCG